rnacentral:tRNA from 1 species
GACGAUGUGGUGAAACUGGUAUCACGCCCGCCGAUUAAAGGCCAACCAUCUUGAAAGCGGGAGUCAUGGGUUCGAGUCCCAGCAUCGUCA